rnacentral:rRNA from 1 species
UAGGGAAUAUUGCGCAAUGGGGGAAACCCUGACGCAGCAACGCCGCGUGAGUGAGGAAGGUCUUCGGAUUGUAAAACUCUUUUAUUGGGGAAAAAUGGUCAUGGAAUUAAUACCCCAUGAUUUGAUGGUACCCAAGGAAUAAGCACCGGCUAACUUCGUGCCAGCAGCCGCGGUAAUACGAAGGGUGCAAGCGUUAUUCGGAAUCAUUGGGCGUAAAGCGCGCGCAGGCGGAUUGAUAAGUCAGGUGUGAAAUCUCGAGGCUCAACCUCGAAACUGCGCCUGAAACUAUUAGUCUAGAGUGUCGGAGGGGGUAGGGGAAUUUCACGUGUAGGGGUAAAAUCCGUAGAGAUGUGAAGGAACACCGGAGGCGAAGGCGCCUACCUGGACGACUACUGACGCUGAGGCGCGAAAGCGUGGGGAGCAAACAGG